GCAGCCUAUGGAAGUUCCCAGGCCAGGGGCCAAAUCAGAGCUACAGCUGCCAGCCCACACCACAGCCACAGCAGCAUAGGAUCCGAUCCACGUCUGCGACCAACACCACAGCUCAUGGCAACGCCAGAUCCUUAACCCACUGAGUGAGGCCAGGGAUAGAACUCGAAUCCUCAUGGUUCCUAGUCAGGCUCAUUAACCGAUGAGCCACGAAGGGAACUCCCUGCUGUGGGAUUCUUAAUCCACUGCGCUGUGGUGGGAACGCCUAGGUACGAUCUUCUAAGCACUGGGUCCAAAGGCCUUUUCACACUCAUCCUCCAGGUCUACUAAUUCCUACACUACUUGUUCACAAUAACUUUUCAAAACCCUUUGUCUCCAUUCUCUCCCUCUCUCAACCCUUCCCCAGAUUAUAUUACACAGCAGGGAUGCCUUCCCUAGCACAGUAACUUAACGUUUUUACCCCAUUUUUCAAACAUUGAAAUUGUACUUCUUCCAGGAAGCCUUCCUGGAUUGAUUCCAUCUUAAAGAUGAAAGAGAUCAAAGAAAUUAUUUAAUUGCACCUCGAUUUAGAAUUAGGAUACUGCGUGCCAGAGCAGUGAUUUGCCUGGUGCAUAUUAAGGGCAACGCUGGGAGAAGAUCCCCAAGUCUCCAACUCCUCCUCUUGUUUUCUUUCCAUUGUCCUGAAGCUGCCAUCUCCUCAGAGAAGGGAGAAUAGUUGGCCUGGUCUCCUGGCGGGGAUUUCCAUAACUGUCCCUUGCUCACCAUUCCAAAAUACCCUUCCUGGCAGUCAGUCUCUUUGCUAUGUCUGAGACAGGUGGUGUUGGUCUUAAAUAAAAGCUCACUUAACUCUGUGACCCUGGAAGGCAAGUCACCCUAUUGUCCUCAUCUCUGUUUCCCUAGCACCGAGCAGUGCCUCAAACUCAAUGGCUUGACGAAUGGAAACAAACUGAAAGGAAAACAUGCUAGGGACCCUCUGAGACGGCGGUGUCCUCAACCACCAAUAAGACAGAGGGCUCUCUAGGCAAGGAUGAUCAAGCAGAGCCCUGCCCGUUUGGACCCAGCUCUGUCCUGCCACCCCCGUCCCUGUGCCCCCACCACUCACCAAGGACAAGAGGGAGGUGAAAUGAUCCCUUGGAGGCACAACUUGCACUUUUUGCACUUUCUAAGGCCCCAAGGGAAAGGUGUGAGGCCAGGAACUCUACAACUGCUUGAUCCACCUUGACUGAAGGCCAAACCUGGGGAAAGGAGAUUGCAGGGGCUACACAGGGCUCCAGAAAGAACUCCAGGGAGUUCCCAUUGUGGCUCAGCAGUAACAAACCCUACUAGUAUCCAUGAGGAUGUGGGUUCGACCCCUGGCCUCGCUUGGAGUUGCUGUGAGCUGUAGUAUAGGUCACAGAUGCGGCUUGGGUCUGGCUGCAGCUCCGAUUUGACCCCUAGCCUGGGGUCUCAAGUAUAAGAGUCCGUGGGAGGAAGAAACAGGCUGGAAACAGGGCCGGUGGUGCUUAGGCAGAAGGCCUGCAGAUGUUCUCACACUGUUCAAAGGAAUACAGAUGUGGGCAGGCGAGAGGAGCCCAGCAGAGCUGUGCUUGCCCACACCCUUGGGUUCCCCUCCCUCCCUUCCCAUCACAUUAUUGGGCAAUCUUGGCGGGAAGCUGUGGGGGGAGUUAAAGAUCUCAGGGCCUGGGACUCUGGCAGCUGGCAGAGGAUCUGGGGCAAGUCCUGACUUUUGACCAAAGGGGACAGCCCAUGGCUAGUAGAGUCCCCGGGUGCGUUAAGGUCGCUCUACACCCGGGGGAGCUCCUCCCGCACUACAUGCAAAUGUAAUAUGGAAACGGAGGUCAAGGAAUACUUAGCUGUGUAGCAGAAAGAGCACUGGCAUGGGACUCAGGUUUCCAGCGCUGGCCCCAUCAGAGUCAGCUGUGUGGCCCUGGACUGGUCCCUUAUCUGAUCUUCAGCUUCCUAAGUCAUGGAAUAGGUCACCUUGAAGGUCCCUUCCAGAACUGACACUCCAGAACACAGGAGGUAUUUAGCACAAGUUAAAUGGCUGAAUAGAUAUAAUUCCAGGCCUCUCUUCCUCCAGACGUAUUUACAAGGUUUUCCACACUGCUCACCUCCCGCUGAUUUCAUUUGGAUGAUAAUAGCCCCUUCAGCAUCCUCCCUGCCUUGGGCCUUCCCCACUUCCAUUCCCAGAAAUCUGAAAGCAGCCUCUCAAACUUCACUAUGCUGACCCACUUCUCAAGCACCCACAAUAGCUGCCUGCUGAGAACCCAGGUGCCCCGGCCUUUAGUAGCUGCCCAGCGAGCCCCAGCCCCAACCGCACCGCCCACACUCCUGGUCUGGGUUUCUUUCUCCCCUUGCAAUCCCAGCCGGUCCCCUCCUGCGAGCCCUGCUCCAGACUUACCUCUUCAAGGAAGUCCGCCCAAACUAGCACCAUCCAUAACCACACCCUGCAUUAUUUCCUGUCCCUUCAGUAUUUAACGCCUCAGGUUGCGUUAUAUUUAUCCGUAGUUUCAUACACACACACACACACACACACACACACACACACAUCCUUCUAAGUAUAGGCACAAUUUACCCCUGAAACCUGACAAGUGAACAGAAGGAACUAAGGAAAACCCCCUUCAAAAAGCCCACAGCCAGCCUCGGGGCCCAACACCCAAGAGCCCUCCCUCUCGUUCCUCCCCUAAGUAAGGGAAGAAGGUUUAAAAACACAUAAAACAUAUAUUUAAAACACAAAGCUACAGCUAAAAAGAUCCUCUGCUUUUACCUAGCUCAACUUCCUCAUGUUAGGGGAGUCUGAGACCCAGAGAAGUUAAGCAACUUGUUUCAAGUCACACAGCUUUUUUCUUUUGUGUGUGUGUGUGUCUUUGUGUGUGUGAGUCUUUCUCUUAGGGCCACACUUGCGGCACAUGGAGGUUCCCAGGCUAGGAGUCGAACUGGAGUUGUAGCUGCCCCCCUACACCACAGCCACAGCUACGCCAGAUCCAAGCCACAUCUGCAACCUACACCACAGCUCACGGCAGCACCGGAUCCUAAACCCACUGAACAAGGCCAGGGAUCAAACCCACGUACUCACGGAUACUAGUCGGGUUCAUUAACCACUGAGCCAUGACGGGAACUCCACACAGCUUUUUUAGUAUUCAGGAAGGAAACCAAGAGGAAGGUAAUGCCUUGUGCACUGCGAACAUUUUUUCUUUUCUUUCUUUUAAAUACAGAUAUUUUAUUUAUUUUAUUUUUUUGGGGGGUGUCUUUUUGUCUUUUUAGGGCUGCUCUGGCAGCAUAUGGAGGUUUGCAGGAUAGGGGUCUAAUUGGAGCUGUAGGAUAGGGGUCUGAUCGGAGCUGUAGCGGCCAGCCUACGCCACAGCCCCAGCAACGCAGGAUCCAAGCUGCACCUGCGACUUACAGCUCAUGGCAACACCGGAUCCUUAACCCACUGAGCAAGGCCAGGGAUUGAACCCAUGUCCUCAUGGUUCUUAGUGGGAUUCGUUUCCGCUGCUCCACGACGGGAACUCCUAUGAACAUUUCACUAGCUGACUGAAUUAGCCAAACCAAGGGGUCAUUCUGACACCACGCAGCCCACUGAAUUCUGGUUUUUGGUGGAGAACCUGCAUUCAAGUGUAGUGAAAAACCUGUGUUUGCACCCCCCCCUUCCGCUGGAAAAAGAGAUCUGAUAACAAAAGGGGUCACACGGGUCUGAAGAAGAACUGAAGAGAGUUUAAAACCCUGUCCCAAGAAAGAACUGAACAGCACUAGAAUGAAAGCCAGGAUCCAGCAUUUCUGACUGCAAAUUUUUGAGGUUUUGGUGGGGCUGCUUCCUUGAUGCCAGCCCACACUGGCCAUUUUUAGGUUGCAGCUGAGGGCGGGACCACCAACACUAAGUGCCCUGGGCAAAUCCCAGGAUGCACAGCAGCCGAGAAGGAAGAAUUACAGCAGAGGCCAUGGGCCCUGGG
rnacentral:lncRNA from 1 species